rnacentral:rRNA from 1 species
UACGAAGGGGGCUAGCGUUGCUCGGAAUCACUGGGCGUAAAGGGCGCGUAGGCGGAUCUUUAAGUCGGGGGUGAAAGCCUGUGGCUCAACCACAGAAUUGCCUUCGAUACUGAGGAUCUCGAGACCGGAAGAGGUGAGUGGAACUGCGAGUGUAGAGGUGAAAUUCGUAGAUAUUCGCAAGAACACCAGUGGCGAAGGCGGCUCACUGGUCCGGUUCUGACGCUGAGGCGCGAAAGCGUGGGGAGCAAACAGG